CAGAGGAUAGUUUAUUAAAAUAUUAAUUUUGGAGAUUAAUGAUAGAAUUCUUUUCUUCUUCUGA
rnacentral:tRNA from 1 species